UUUCAAAGAUCGAUUAUGUCCCAAACUGUCGAGAAAACAAGAUAAUCUAGUGACUCACUUAACAUAUGAGGAGAGUAACAUUUAGAGACAGUAGACAAAACAAAGAGUUACACUUUCAGAUCGUUAUCCAGGAAAGAUAAAGUUGUCAAUUCAAUCCCAAGAUAAAAGGAAAUCAUGUUAGUUUAAAUCCAAAGGCAAAUCCACUGAACCUUAAUAGAACGUUAAUUAUAUUCAAACUAAGCUUCAAGUCUUACGAACUAUCUACAUAAUUUUAGAAUUUUAGAUCCAUUUUUAAUCCUCAGGGAUCUUAUUAUACUCCAAUCACGCGAAAUUAACAACUAAAAGAGUCUUAGUUAUUGGUUCUACUUUCAUCGAAACUCUAAAGGGAAAGGGCCCAGAAAUACCUGGGUCAGCCGGGGUAGACAGCGCAGUGGAGUCGAUGGAGUGAAGCCGGAAAGCUGGGAGAAGGAAGAGCGGAGGUACGAAGUGACUCGAAAGAGGAAACGAAAUGAGUUGAACUAUGUUCAACGUACGUAGUGAACGAAGUACCUCUGCGCAUGAUGGAGUAAUCUCUUCGUCUAAUCAUGAGGUCACAUGGACUUUCUCUGGGAUUGAUUCCCGUUGUGGAUUGCUGCGCAGCUAACUACCGACCCCGAAAUUUCAUAUAGAAAUCAAAAGAUCGUAUAUGAUCGAUCGCGAGUUCGAGUUCGGUCAUCCUGGAUUCGUGUACUUCACCGACCCGUCUUCCAAAUAAAAAAAAGGGCUCAGAGAUGAACCUGAAAUAUAGCUCUCCAAUUAACAAAAGUUCAGCAGUUACAAUCUUGAAUAGAGCGAGUCCGAAUGAGAAUCAGCAAGAUCUUCGAACAAAAACCAAGAACAACGAUCUGAAACACAGCGGCGACUCCGAAAAUUCGAACACCACCCCUCGCUGUCACU
rnacentral:lncRNA from 1 species